rnacentral:sRNA from 1 species
CCAUAGGGGCCAAGCGAAUCCAGAAGAGUAUAAACCUAAACACUAACCACCUAACUAACCUAGAGAUUACCCUAAUCUAAUCCAUCCUCAAGAACCCUAAUCCCUACUCAAGCAACAUUCUCAAGAACACAAAUCCAGAAAUUACUAAAAUCAUACCAAAAUAUAGAUCUAAACAAGCUAAACAACUUUACUUAAACAAUCAAAUGCAAAAACGAAAUAGAUUAAGAGUAAUUAAAGUUUCAAGAUUCAGAAACAUAAAGAAAAACUGAAAGAUAAAGUCUAGAUCUUUUGGACAAACCCCAAAAUGAUCUAUUUAUAGUAAAAUGUUGAAACCCUAGAUUCACUAGAAGACAAGAGACUUGAGGCGGUUUGGGCGAAUACUCGACCUUGGGGAUCGUGUAAAGAGGGUGCUGCAAUGUCUACGCCUUUGUGUCUAUGGUCCGAGUGAUCAAUUGGUCGAGUAGAUGCUUCAUCCUCUCCUAUCCGUAUGCUCAGAUGUCUGGUUGAGUGGGGAAUGAGGAGGAUCCGAAGACGCUUUGAUAGCUCAACAAGUCUUGUAGAGAUGGUCACCCUUGGUCGAGUAAAUGGAUCGAGUAGUGGAUCGAGUAGGAGGGGCGAGUAGUUGAAUCUACUGCUUCAUCUGAGGUUGCCUUGAUCGAGUAGGAGGGUCGAGUAAACUGCAGCCUCCUUUGUAGCAUCCUGGAUCGAGUAGUGAGGUCGAGUAGAGUGAUGCCUCCUUUUGCACCUGAAAACACACCAAAACAUGCAAUGCGAAUGCAAGAUGAUCCUAGAUGCCUAAGUAUGCAAAACAAGCUAAAAUGGUGCAAAAUGAUAUGAUACAAUGAGUAAAUGCAAAGCUAAAUGAUGAUAAACAUACACCUAAAAUGAGUAAAAUACAGUGUUAUCAACUCCCCCAAACUUAUCUCUUGCUUGCCCUCAAGCAAACAAAAAAUCUUAAGUUGAAGGAGAGGUUUGAAGGUGGGGAUUCAAAAACCGAAGCAUGCAUAUAAAAUGGGUAAGCUCAAUGUCCAGGUAGCUAAUUCUAGGUUGCAAGAUGAUAGACCCUUACUCAAAAACGUUAGCCAUACUCGUCACAAUGUAACCUAACGACUUGCCUUAAUCUAUUCAAUCAUUCACAUCAACCAAUUCCCUUUAACAUUCAUUAAGCACGAACAGUGGAUCAAGAAAUGUAAUGGUUAUGAACUCACUUGGUUUCGGGCUUAGGCCUAGAGACAAAAAUGGUCCCUCUAAUGGUUUGGUCGAGUAACAGUGGACUCUCAGAGAAAAGAUUGAGCUUCAGUAGAAUGCUAAAGGUAAAAGCCAACUGACACAUACAAGAACAGACUCCCAUCUACCCAAUGAUAUAGUAUGAUAGCUCAGAAGAUGAUCCUAUUCCCAUAGAUGUCCUAACUCUACCCUUUUUCUCAUUCUUUCUCUCUUUUUGGUUCAUGUUCUAAGGGGUUCUCUUGAAAUGAUUUAAGAGUCUAGCGGGUUUGGUUUUAAACUUUGACAAACUUAAGGCUUUUCUUCUAAUCUUCGCACAUGGGGCAAUUUACCCUUUUA